AAAAACAUCGCCUCUUGAUAAAUUAUAAGAGGUCCAGCCUGCCCAGUGAAAAAUUUAACGGCCGCGGUACCCUGACCGUGCGAAGGUAGCAUAAUCACUUGUUCUUUAAAUAAGGACUAGUAUCAACGGCAUCACGAGGGUUACACUGUCUCCUUUCUCCAAUCAGUGAAACUGAUCUUCCCGUGAAGAAGCGGGAAUAUAACCAUAAGACGAGAAGACCCCAUGGAGCUUUAAAUUUUAUAGCAACUCAGUCAAAUAAACCCUUAUAAUCCACAGAGCCAUGCAUGCCAAUUUUAGGUUGGGGUGACCGCGGAGUAAAAAUUAACCUCCACGACGAAAAGAACUAGAUCUUUAUCUAAGAGCUACAGCUCUAAGAAUUAGUAUACUAACGACAAUGACCCGAUAAUCGAUCAACGGACUAAGUUACCCUGGGGAUAACAGCGCAAUCUACUUCGAGAGCUCAUAUCGACAAGUAGGCUUACGACCUCGAUGUUGGAUCAGGGUAUCCCAGUGGUGCAGCCGCUACUAAUGGUUCGUUUGUUCAACGAUUAAAACCCUACGUGAUCUGA
rnacentral:rRNA from 1 species